UACGUAGGGUGCAAGCGUUUAUCGGAAUUACUGGGCGUAAAGCGUGCGCAGGCGGUUUUGUAAGUCUGAUGUGAAAUCCCCGGGCUCAACCUGGGAAUUGCGAUGGAGACUGCAAGGCUUGAAUCUGGCAGAGGGGGGUAGAAUUCCACGUGUAGCAGUGAAAUGCGUAGAGAUGUGGAGGAACACCGAUGGCGAAGGCAGCCCCCUGGGUCAAGAUUGACGCUCAUGCACGAAAGCGUGGGGAGCAAACAGG
rnacentral:rRNA from 1 species